rnacentral:rRNA from 1 species
CAACCGCGUAGUCGAUAGCUGACCUUGACGUACUACGAAGCCAGCUAACUACGUCAGCAGCGCGUAUACGUAGUUGCAGCGUAUCCGAAUAUGGCGUAAGCGGCGCAGUUGUUCUAGUCUGAUGGAAAGCCCACGCUCACCGUGGAGGUCAUGAACUGGGAGACUGAGUGCAGAGAGGAAAGUGAUCCAUGUGUAGCGUGAAAUGCGUAAGAGAUAUGAGACACCAGUGGCGAGGACUUCUGGUCUGUAACUGACACUGGAGGCCGCGAAAGCGUGGGGAGCAAACAGGAUAGGAUACCUGGUAGUCCACGCGGUAAACGAUGAGUGCUAGGGUAGGAGGGUUUCCGCCUUUUAGUGCUGAAGUAAACGCAUUAAGCACUCGGCUUGGGGAGUACGGCCGCAAGGUUGAAAUUCAAAGGAAUUGACGGGGGCCGGCACAAGCGUUGGAGCAUGUGGUUUAAGGAAGCAACGGGAGGACCCUUACUCUUGACUUCUUCUGCCAACCUUAGAGAUAGGGUUUUUCUUUCGGGAGCAGGUGCCAGGUGGUCCAUGGUUGUCUUCAGUUCGUGUUGAGAUGUUGGGUUAAUUCCCGCAACGAGCGCAACCCUUGUUCUUAGUUGCCAUCAUUAAGUUGGCCAUUUUAAGGUGACUGCCGGUGCCAAACCGGAGGAAGGUGGGGAGGAGGUCAAUUCUUCAUGCCCUUUAUGCCUUGGGUUCCGCACGUGUUCCAAUGGAGGUACAAAGAGUUGCAGGACCGGGAGGUGGAGUUAUUUUCAUAAACCGUUUUCAGUUCGGAUUGUAGGUGCAAUUGGCUUCCAUGAAGCUGGAAUCGUUGGAAUCGGGGAUCAGCAUCGGUGAAUACGUUCCCGGGCCUUUGUCCACACCGCCCGUCCCACCACGGGAUUGUACCACCGGAAUCGGUGGGGUACCCUUUUGGAGCCCGCCCGCCUAAGGGACGCCGGACAAAAGAUUGGGGUCAAAUCCUAACAAGGGAACCGUAUCCGAAGGGGCCAGCGUUCAUCCUCCUUUAGGCCGAAACUUAUAAAUAA